UACAAAAUACAUAAACUUAAGAUUUCAAGUGUUAUGAACUCAAAAUCAUGAUUCAUACCUCACGCUGGUCUUCCUUCGAUGUGAUUGGCCAUGCAAGGAGUUCUGCCUGGCAACAAGAGAACUAACGCACUGAUUGGUAGAUAAUUACAAAAGGCGGUCCUCUUCGUCUGGUCUGUUGUUUGCUGCUGAGACCGGUUUCAGUGUAAAGUUAAUUAACGGGGUUUUUCACCGUGUGCCAUUUUAAGUGAUAUAAGACAAGAACAUGUGGAAAUGUAAGCAUUGCAUUUUCAACUCUGAGGAAAGAGGGGAAUUUCUCAAACAUGAUCGUUUAAAACAUGGUGCCCGUACAAAACCUGUACUUUUUCCAUGCCUACACCUUGACUGUCUUUGUGUCUGAUCAUCGCAACUCUAUCCUUGAUGUGCCAGUGGGGAGCUUACUCGAAGACACCAAUCUUCAGCCCCCCAACUCCUUGCAUUUGACUUCCUCUAUAGGGAUAAUACUUGGAGGCCAAGUGGUGAUGGACAAAAUGCAGGAUGUCUCAUAAGCAAUGUGUCUUCUCUUUGGUCUUAUUUAUGCGUUAGACCCAAAUUCCCUCGCAAACACGUUUGAUGUCAAUGGGGCAGAACACCCUCAAUCCUAAAGUACAGUCUUUGGCAAACCAACUUUUUGGUGAAGAAAAAUGUUUAGGUCUCCUUGUUGCAGAUUUUGAGUCAGCAUUGUUAGAUUUACAUACUCAGAGCAAUUUUUUUUAAUUGAUUAACUGGAUUAUCCAUAAAUGAAGGAGAAAAAGUAUAAUAGUAUUUUAAAUUGUUUAAGUGCACAGAGUUCUUCCACUGAUGGAGUGCAGUAGUUAAUGUGGGACAUUGUUACCAAGUCUUCAGUGCUGUACAGUGUGGUCGUGACACAUUUCCAUUAUAGUAUAGUGUGUACUGUAAUUUCAUUAAUUUUGUGAACAUUGGUCAAUAAAGACAUUCAAUAUGCUAUUCA
ensembl:lncRNA